UACGUAGGGUGCAAGCGUUGUCCGGAAUUAUUGGGCGUAAAGAGCUCGUAGGCGGUCUGUCACGUCGGCUGUGAAAACCCGGGGCUCAACCCCGGGCCUGCAGUCGAUACGGGCAGACUAGAGUGCGGUAGGGGAGACUGGAAUUCCUGGUGUAGCGGUGAAAUGCGCAGAUAUCAGGAGGAACACCGAUGGCGAAGGCAGGUCUCUGGGCAUUAACUGACGCUGAGGAGCGAAAGCAUGGGGAGCGAACAGG
rnacentral:rRNA from 1 species